AAGACGACAGUUGUUCCAAUUAUUUCAGCUUGUUAUACCAAUAAUCGAAAUGCAGUUGAUUUUUUCGCAUUCAACUUCUUAUAUAAUAGAUUCAAAUACAAACUUCUAAUUGUCCUUACGCAAUCAACUAUCAAUAUAUUGCAUUCAACUGUAUGAUUUAUUCUAUGCAUUCAACUAUAAAUACAAUAGAUUCAACUACAACCUGCUGAUUGACAUAAUGCAAUCAACUUUGAAUAUAAUAGAUUCAAUUGUAAUGGUGUAAUUGAUUCAAUUGUAAUGGUAUAAUUGAUUCAACUGUAGAUAUGAUUGAUUCAACUACAAUUGUAUGAUUGAUUUUAGGCAUUCAACUAUAAAUAUAAUAGAUCCAACUGUAGUGGUAUAAUUGAUUCAAUUGUAAAUAUGAUAGAUUCAACUGUAGUGGUAUAAUUGAUUCAAUUGUCAAUAUGAUAGAUUCAACUACAAUUGUAUCAUUGAUUUUAGGCAUUCAACUAUAAAUAUAACAGAUUCAACUGUAGUGGUAUAAUUGAUUCAACUGUAAAUAUGAUAGAUUCAACUGUAAUGGUUUUGAACUAUAAAUAUAGUAAAUAAAAUUAUAUUGUUAUGAUUGAUUGUGUGAUACUUGAAUAAAAAUGUAUUUACAUAAGUGUAGUCAGAGUGCCUUCAGCAGCAGGUGGCUGGGUGUUUACCUAUGGCAAAAACAAAAGGUCAAUUCAAUCCAGAUGCGGCAGCAGCUCAAAUCAAAACGAAGGAAUCGAUGCCGCUGGAGGAUUUGUUGGCUGGGUGGCACCGAUUGUCGUUGUCCGGCUCGAAAUGGUCCUCGUUGGCCACCAGGGAGCGGAGGCGCUGGUUGUCGCACCAACUACGGCAAGUAGUGUGUCCUGAGUAGCACGAUGGGGUAAAGUUCAUCUGUUGGAUGUGCAUCUCAUUUGAUGGCGGUGGGGACCGGUUCCGAGAAGAUGAGAUGGUGGAAGAAUUUAGUCACUGUCUGCCGGAAGCCAAAAUAACUCCGAAAUCAUUCGCAAAUCUAUAGUUCGGGUCAAAUGUGCUUACUGGUUCCGCACUGGAAGCUUCCGGAGGGCCUUCGAACAACGUCACUGGAGUCAGACCGAACAAGCAUGCUGUUUCCAUAGUACCUCCUUGAUGUAUCCGAACUGGAUGACGAAUGAGUGAUUUAAAAUAAAUUUAAAAAUUGCUAGAAACAUAAAAUUAAUUUUAAUGUAGCGAUAGAACAAAACUUAAAGCCAACUGUAUUAUAGUAAUCUUAAUAAUAUACAUAUAGUUGAAUGCCAAAAAUCAAUCAUAUAGAUAUAGUUGAAUCUAUAAUAUUUAUGAUUGAAUCAAUUAUAUUAGUAUAUUUGAAUCUAUAAUAUUUAUGAUUGAAUCAAUUAUAUUAGUAUAGUUGAAUCUACUAUACUUAUUGUUAAGUGCAUAGAAUCAAUCAUACGAUUAUAGUUGAAUUUAUCAUAUGUAUAGUUGAAUGCACAAAAUCAAUCAUACGGCUAUAAUUUAAUCUAUCAUAUGUAUAGUUGGAUGCAAAAAAUCAACCAGAUCAUCUAUUAUAUAUAUAGUUCAAAGUUUAAUAUUUAUAGUUAGCCGAGAAUUAAUCAGAAAUAUAGUUCAAUAUAGGCGGAAUAUAGU